GGCCCCGUCGUCUAGAGGCCUAGGACGCCAGGUUCUCAUCCUGGAAACACGGAUUCGACUUCCGUCGGGGUCA
rnacentral:tRNA from 1 species